CGGGCACAGAGAGCCCGCUGGAAGUCGAACGUCGACUCCUCGAUGGGUUCCGCGCUAGCGCUGCGGCGGCGCUUCUCAGGGAAGUCAGGGUGCUGGAGCGCCGAGUCAUCGAUGCGCGGGACUGCGGCCGCGGGCGGCCCGGGGCAGCGGCGGGACGCGCUGGGCCGGGCCGGGGCCGCCUCCAGCCUCCUCGCAGCCGGGCUGGGGCCGCGCCGCCCCUCUUCCGCAGCCGGGUGUCGCGCUAGCCCUGGGGCUGGGCUGCUCGGCGUCCCCAGCCGCCGCGGAGGCCCUGUCCCGCGGGCUGCCGGCCGGGCGGCGCGGCCCGCCCCGGUCCGCCCCGCCGGGAGAGCCCUGGCAGCGGCUCCCGUGGCUCGGGCCUGCUCGGCAUCCAGCCUUCCCUGAGGAAGGAGUUGAUGCAGUCUCGAGCUUGAAGGGCCCGUUAAAGGGGAGGAAAUAGUGCUGUGGAAGCUUGGAGCAAACCGAAGGAGCGGGGCUGGCCAGGAGUUGCAUCAGGCGUGUGCCUACGGGUGGGAGCCUGGGAGUAUGAAACCAGGUUGCGUGAGAAUCUGUGGGUCAUGGGUUGUACCGCUGGCGUGGUCGUGAACAGGAAUAUAAAAGAACCGUUGUGCUUUGAUUAAGCAGUCUCGAGACGUUGAGCCAAAUAGUAGAUCUGGUUGGAUUAUUUUUCCCUUCUUUCUAAUCUUGCAAAAAGACUAAAUAAUGUUACAGGCUGGAAUGUGAUACUGCAAACACAAACCAUAUGAACAAAAUACAGUCGUGUGUGGUAUAGCAAAUUAAUGUAUAGAAGAUCUUUGGCUAUCUGUCCUCUAGCUAGCUGCAUUUAGUCUUGCUAUUAUAGCACUUCGUCUCUUCGGCUUGUUUUGAAGUUAUCUUUGGAACCAUUUGUACUGUUGCUAGUAUUCAUUGUAUCCGAGUAAAUUAUAAACAGGCUAGAUGCAUGUUUGUUCCUCAUCCGUCCUUAUUUGAGUGGAGUCCUGGAAUGAGACUUCUCCUGAGGCAGGAUAGCAGUAAAGAGCAAAGACCCAGGAGGGGAAUCAGAAAACACACUCCUAAUGUCAAGGUUUUAGUUUAGACCAGAAACGUGCUUUUUGAGUGGAAUCUCCUGAUCUCACCUGCAUAAGUGUUUUGGCUCACAUAAUCGAGCAGUUACAGAGCAUAUGAACUGAAUAUUUCAUUUGGAUAAGACUUGGAAAAGCAUAAGCUAGUGAUACAUGAAAUAUAUUCUAGCUGUUUAAGGGCAUUUGGGCUGUGGCAGCAAAUUAAAGCUACUGUGAAAUUAAACCCCUUGAAUCGCAUAUGGUGCAGGUGCUAGGGCCUCAGCACUGUUUCACCCUGAAGAUGGGCCAUUGAGCCACUACGUUACUUGUUAACAUAGCCAUUCCUGUGUCUUAACUUCCCUCUUAAAGUAGAAAACUGCCAGCAGAAGAUGGGACUACAAAAAAAAACAUUCUCCUAUGCUCAUGUUAGAUACAGCAUUGUUUGGCCUUCGUAAGAACAAUGUAAAAGUAAACUUUGUCAUAUGUUCUUUUUUCUGCAAAACACCUAUUUCUUUGCUGCUUUUGCUAGCUAAAUUACAAUGCAACAACUGUUAGGAAACACUGUGUGGUUGCUGCGAUCUUACAGCAUGCCUUGUGACAGGUAGAAAAUUCUGUUCAGCUUAUAAGGACAUGAAUCCUUGAAACAAUUUUUUUUUUUAUUUGGAAUAGGAAUUUCUAGCCCAUUGAACAAAAGAGUAAAACAGUCUUGUGCAUUAUAAGCAAAAGGACACAAAUGUAGUUUAGUUCUGUCUCUUUAGAGAUGGGUAGGUGGCUCUACCAAACCUUUGUGAUGGCAGGGUCUUCCUAAAACCCUCUUUAGUCACUGAACACACCAAACAAAACUCUGGAGCUCUUUAUUGUUCACCGAAGAUUGGACAAUUUGCUUGACUAAUGGCCAGUUAGUACAGUGAAUACCUGGCUAAAUGUACUGCCUUGUUACAUGCAAUAGCUACAAUCUGGGACAAUCCUUGAACAAUGCAAGCAUUAUUAUACCAGGUGCUUGCUGAAAAGGAAACACUCAAGAGAACAUAUAACAUGAUGAGCUCUUCCAGGCAGGUUCUUGUAAACCUGCAGCACUCCUGACUCUUAAAAGACCUCUCUAAUCUUCGCAGACAAUCCACCUCAAUGCUCCUUAUUCUCAAAACUUUCAAAAAAGGUUUUUCUAAAGUUAAAAAUGUGAGGGGUUUUUGCAAUGAAAUGUAAAUCUGUUCUUGUCUUAACCUGUUCUCUAGGUUCAGUGGAUAUCCCUUUAGAAAUAUUGGAAGGCUCUUACUGGAUUAGACUGGUAAUAACUGGUACAUAUACUUUUAGGUAAUCUUUUUUUGCUGUUUAAUUUAUAACAACUGGGGCCAAUAAGAUCCACAGGUUAACUGCCUGCUUUGGGAAAGUUUAUCUCCUUUUUAUUUUGAACUUACAAACUGAUUUCCCUUGUGGACUCCUAUCUCUUACAUUAUGAGAGAGAUAGAAGAAUUGUUGCCUUUAUUCAUGCAAAGUUUUUAAUGGAUUUUUUUUCUGGACUUACUGUUAUCAAUUAAUAUGUAUAAUAUGAUUGAAAUAACCAGGGAGCUGCUAAAGUCCUGUGUACGGCCCCCAUCAGUUAAUACUUAGAAUAGGGAAACAAUAACUAGACAUGAUUUAGGGUUUAGGAACUAACUACUAGACAAUGGGGGUUUAUUUUUUUUGUCAGAAAAGGUAAUGGAUUGUGAUCUGGUCAAUAAACCUUGAAGAACCACCUGGAACUGCCAAGAUUAGGGAAGAAGUAGGUAAAAGGUAAUUCCUACAGGGGGAGAUCGGGACCACCUACUCAUUGACCACCACCACUCAAAUGAUACCACCUACUCAAAAGAAGACAGGAGAAAAGGAGUCUGCGUACUAAUUUACAUGAGGGGCAAAGAAGAAAGAACCAAUCAUUAAGGAAAAUAACAAUGAAUAUGUAUUAGUUGAGUGUAUAAAUGUAAGAAUAUUUGAGACAAGGGUGUGCUAUCUUGAAGCAGGCACCCAUUCAUGCGCAUCAAUGAAAUUAGUUUGAAAAUACCUCGACUAUGUGUGUUAUUGGCUUGCACGCUGCGUUAACAAACCCUGUUUGUGGGUCAACAUUACUAUCUAACUUUUAUUUUUUAAUUGACUUGUUUGAAAUAAGUAACUUUAAUUUUUCCAUUCUUUCUUCAUAGGUCUUUUCCAUGCCUCUGAACAUUCUUUUUCAUUUCCCCUGAAGACUCUCUGAACAGGCCACAUUUUUUCUUAAAGUGUAGCAUCUCAAACAGGAAAUAAAUUUCCAAGGAAGCUUUACCAGCGUUGUCUAGUGAAUGUCUCCCUCUCUCUGGGAUUAUGAAACACAGGGAUUAAUGCAAUACAUACCUCUUUCUCAAAAAAUUUCUAUCUAAGGAUCCAGCUUUUUAAUGGAAGGUUUUAGUAGUCAAAGGACUAGAAAAGAGAAAAACACCUGUUUUGGAGAACCAGUUCAAAUCUGUUUCUUAGAUACUUGGAAGGAUCAAUUAGAUACGACUUAAUGCAUUAAGAAACCUGCUUGGUGUAUUAUACCUGUCGUAGGGCGGAGGACGUUCUAUACUGGCAGAAUGAGACCUGUCUUUCCAUAAAUCAGCAUGUUAUUUAACACAUUUCAUGCCAAUAUUAUUCCAGUUCUCUAGGGCCAGCAGGGACUUAAUGAAAGGGAAGGGUAGAAGGGGUUCAGCCAAAAGUUUAAUCAAAGCCAUAGAAUAUACAAACUGAGGCAUCUAAAAUAGCAUUAGAUUUCCCUCUGUUUAGGCAAAUGAUGUUCAAUAUAAUGAAUAUACUUGAAACUAAAGCUGUAGUAUGUACUUUCUCAGUAAUAUGCAUGUCCACAGUCCACAGAAAAUAGAGGCAUAUUUUCAUCUUAAGGGGAAAAAAAAGAUGUGACAUCUGACUUCGCACUUUAGUAUCCACUUUGUUUCUUACUAAAGUUUUCCCCUUUUGCUUAAAAGUGAUGUUUUAGCAGGUUGUGACAAUAGAAGUCGUGUUUCAGCAAGAUAACGAGUAUGAUAUGCUUAAAGAACAGCCUUACCUUAUUUGAGCAGGUAUUGUCAUGUAUUAAAUGACAUUGUAACCCAAGUAUACAAACCAAGAAUAUUGCUAAUUACAAUAUUAAAGACUUCUUGUGUGGAACAAUGAGUAUCAUAAAAAUAGGAAGGUUUUGUGUGGGGAAGCUGGGAGAUUUUACCAUCUAAAUAUCCAUGUAUCCUUUCUUUUCAAGUUGUAUAAUAGGAUUUUGUUUUGUGUUUUGUUUUCUGCUUAAUUGCUAGCUCAGCGUAUGCUUGGAUUUCUGAGAGAGAGAUUUCCUUUGUGAUAGACAUGCAUGUUGAACCCUUAGUAUAGAAACUGAUACUCCAAAUAAAAGGUUUUCCCCAUAACUUCAAUCUACUGACCCAUCACUUUAGGGUAGGCUUCAAUUAUAUUAGCUUACUAGCGUUCUUCAAGAUACAGGUUAGAAGGUGGUGGUCUAGGCUUUCCUCAGGUUACAACGUGACCUGAGAUGUGGUGGGCUGUGUCUUAACCUUGGGGAAGAGUUCUUUUUUAUUAUAUUGCAUUGAGCUGAUUUGAACAAAAAUGAAUGAAAAGGGGGGGGUUUGGUUUUUUUUUUUUUAGUUUUUUGAAACAGAAGAGGCUUUGAUAUCUGCUUUUGCUUAUUGGCAUUCAUGGAAGAUCCUGGCUCCAUUUCUGCUGCAGUUACUGUGAUAAGUAGUCUUUGAAACAGGAGUGUGUGUCAACUGUUAUCAACAAAGAAAACUCUGCAGUGCCAGUUUUUGGUUUAUGGAAAAAUCCCAGUAUUUCUCUGUAAAACUACACAUUUCAAAGUAAUCUGACUGAAAUGUAUGGGACACCAAUCCAAAAAUAUUUUUAAUAAUGCUCCAAGAGGUCCUAUAUCCAGAGCGAGAUACAUAUAUGUAUGUGCUUAGUAAAGGACGCCUGCAUCCCAGAAAAAAAACCAAAACCCAACUAACUUCUGCUCUGACUAUGUGUGCUAUGCUGUGUGCCCACUACAAGGAUUUAGACAGGGGCAACAUCCUGAUCACUACUCUUUAUUAUUGCCUGUAUGUAUAUGAUGUGGCAUUGCAACCCCUAAUCCCUCUUAAAAGAUUAAAAGAUGCAGAGUGAAAUCCUGUCUCAAUAAAAUCAGUAAGGUGAAACUCUCUCGCUGAAUUGAAGAGAUGGGUUUUAUUAUGAACUCCUGGGGGAAGCAAGGCUUCAUUACUGAGGUUUCUGAUUUACACUGGAGGAGCUCACUGUAGUUAGCCUGCUUAAACAGAAGAUUAAGAGCGGUAUUAACGUCUGUUACUGUCUACAUGAACAAAUUCCUGCUACCAUAAGGGUCUCUAAUACAGCAGGCGUGAUAAGGAAAGGAUGGAAGUCUGAGCAGGACAAAUUAAAACUCAAAAUAUAUAGAUGUGACUAAUGGAAAUGUGAGUUGUUAUUGAGCAAGUUAUCAAAGACAGGCAUUUUUUAAUUGCCUGCAAUCAUAAGUCAUUGCGAGCACUUAGAAUCUAUAGUUCCAUCACUGAGACUGCAUUUUUUGCUGACCUAUGAGUGAGAACAAAAAAGAAAAGGCCCGUGGCCUUGCAAAGAUGUGCACUACGUGAAGCAAGAAGGUGACUGUGGGCAGGCUGCAGUCCUCCAUGAUUGUCACCUUGCUGCUAGGGCAGGUCUCUCCCUCCAUCCCUUGUCAUACGCACAGAACGGGUGGAGACUGAGCCUGGAGGCAGCUGCAGGGAGAGGCUGUGAAGGCAGCCAAUAAAUGGUGGCUACCUCGUACUUGAGCCAAAAGGUUCAUUUUGACUCUCAGUUACUUGGGAGGGAUCUUACGGGCUCAGUUUUGCUGACUUUAUCCUACUUUGCCUAAAACUGCAUCUCUCAAUAAUGCUUUUUAAUCUUGAUGCUGUAACUGUUAGGUAAAAAUCAGAUGAUCAUAGUAAGUGUUUUCCCUGAUGGAAUUCAAGUAUGUGAUACGAGUAAUGGUAUACACAGGUGGUUUACUUUUGUCCUGAAUCUAUUCGAAGUCAUUACCAGGCUAAUGGAACUAAGUUGAGCUGACAUUGGUGAUAGAUGAUAAUAUAGUCUAUUCCUUUAAGUUAUGUAGGAACUGAAUACAGAACUUACAUGGAGACAGUAUCUUAGAAUUAAUUUUUGAAGUUAAACAUUGUCAGGAAAUUCAGAUACUGUACUGGUGAUACAACAGGUAGUCAGAUCCAGAUAAAAGUGCUAAUAUCCUAUAAUAUGUAUGAGAAAAAGCUUAUCCAAUGAAAACUCUUUAAUUUCAAUGAUAUUCUAAAAAUAUUAUUCCCAUGCGGUCCUAGUGAAUUGAAUGAAACCUGGUCAACCUUUGAGGAAAAACAGAAGUCAAGAAUUAUUCUCAAGGCUUACAUUAAGAGGGUAAAAAUAAAGCCCAAUAUGUCUUAGUCCUAAAUUUAUAUUUCUGAAUUGUUAAUGUACACUUGUUAAUUGUUAAUGUACACUGGAUAUCAAAUGAAAGUAUUUCCUUUGGAAAUGAGAUCUCAACACUUUAUAUUCUUUUGAAUGUGACAUCUUUCCAACAGUCUACUCUAAAGUCAAUGUUCUGUUGACUUCAGCAGUUUGGGAUUUGGUCCAUAUCAAGCAGCUUGUAAGAACAGAGAGCCAUCAAAAUAUUCCAUUUCAUGCUAUUAUUGCUGUAUGAAGGUCUCAAUUUCCAUAUAGACUUAAAAGAAAUUGGAUAAAAUAAAUAUUCACUAGCAUGGGAAUGUAUGCAAUUACCUACUGGGGGAAUCAAACAACUGGAUUUGAUGUCAAGUUCUCAGCUAGUAAUUGGAUAUCAUUUAUCUUUCUUACAGUUCUGUGAGGGAAAUAACAUUGCAUAUGACUUUGCACAUUUUAUGAGCAAUGAGUGGCAAUGGCAUAAUUGGGAUAUCAGUUCACAGAGAUUGCAGCAGAAUCUUGUGUACACGUGCUCUAGCAAAGAUAUUUAGUUACAAGCAGUACAAUAAUAACAGCUAUUCAGAGUGCUUCACACUUACAAAGCCCUAGUUAAUUAGUCAUCACCUAGUUAAUAAUUUAAUUAAAUGUAAUUGUCAGCAGCAGUAUUUAUACCAUUAGAAGAUAAUUAGUCCUUCAGUGACACUUUCAACAUUUCUGCCCUUCCUUCUUUUAAGGGCUGAGGCAAAGAAAUGAAAUAUUUAACUGUGAUUGUAAUAUGUAUUAGACUUACACAGUUAUUACAAUGGUUAUAUUUGCUGGGGUUUUUUAUUCUGCUUAACAUUGUUGAUAUUUUCUCUUCCCUUUUCCUGUAUAAAUGUCAUAACAGAUCACUUAUUCAGGUCCCAUCCCAAAAUAUGGAAAUAUUAAUCAAUGUGUAUUUAUAUUGAAAUUGCUGUCAGGAUCAAAGAUGAGUAGGUUAAUGCUUAUUAAAGCUAUGGUCGUUGUAGUUUGUCUUGUCAACAGCUAUGGCACAGGCAGUAAGAGUACAUACAUACUGCUCAGCAAGUCAGUCUGUGUCUCAGAGGAGAUUACUUUAAGCAUAGUAACUCUGCAUAAGCUAUCUAUAGAGUAGUCUUCAAGAUCCUUCACAAGAUAUGCAAGUUAUUUCCUGGUCCAUUAAAGAGAUUAAAUUGGAUUACAAUCAAAACAAUAACUCUUUGUAUUCUAAAACAUGGAGUGAAUGCAGUUCUUAAUAACCAUGUGAUGCUUUUGCUUCUUGUGUUCCAUUUGGAAUAGACAUGAUGAUGUGAGUUAUUAAAGUUUUUAAUGUAUAAACAAUAAAAACACAUUAAUGAAGCAAA